CCGUAGCUGGGUUGUUAAGUCUCUUGGGAAAUCUGGCGGCUUAACCGUCAGGCGUCUAAGGGAUACUGGCAAUCUUGGAACCGGGAGAGGUGAGGGGUACUUCGGGGGUAGGAGUGAAAUCCUGUAAUCCUCGAGGGACCACCUGUGGCGAAGGCGCCUCACCAGAACGGCUUCGACAGUGAGGGACGAAAGCUGGGGGAGCAAACCGGAUUAGAUACCCGGGUAGUCCCAGCCGUAAACUAUGCGCGUUAGGUGUAUCGGUGACCACGAGUUACCGAGGUGCCGAAGGGAAACCGUGAAACGUGCCGCCUGGGAAGUACGGUCGCAAGGCUGAAACUUAAAGGAAUUGGCGGGGGAGCACCACAACAGGUGGAGCCUGCGGUUUAAUUGGACUCAACGCCGGGAAGCUCACCGGAUAGGACGGCAGAAUGAUUGCCGGGCUGAAGACCCUGCAUGACUAGCUGAGAGGAGGUGCAUGGCCGUCGUCAGUUCGUACUGUGAAGCAUCCUGUUAAGUCAGGCAACGAGCAAGACCCACGCCAACAGUUGCCAGCAUGGUCUCCGGACUGAUGGGGACACUGUUGGGACCGCCUCUGCUAAAGAGGAGGAAGGAAUGGGCAACGGUAGGUCAGCAUGCCCCGAAUUAUCCGGGCUACACGCGGGCUACAAUGGGCAGGACAAUGGGCAUCGACACCGUGAGGUGGAGGCAAUCUCCUAAACCUGUCCUUAGUUCGGAUUGUGGGCUGAAACUCGCCCACAUGAAGCUGGAAUCUGUAGUAAUCGCGUUUCAAAAUAACGCGGUGAAUUUGUCCCUGCUCCUUGCACACACCGCCCGU
rnacentral:rRNA from 1 species